AGAGUUUGUUCAGGGCUCAGAUUGAACGCUGGCGGCAGGCUUAACACAUGCAAGUCGAGCGGCAGCGGAAAGAAGCUUGCUUCUUUGCCGGCGAGCGGCGGACGGGUGAGUAAUGUCUGGGGAUCUGCCCGAUGGAGGGGGAUAACUACUGGAAACGGUAGCUAAUACCGCAUAAUGUCGCAAGACCAAAGUGGGGGACCUUCGGGCCUCACACCAUCGGAUGAACCCAGAUGGGAUUAGCUAGUAGGUGGGGUAAUGGCUCACCUAGGCGACGAUCCCUAGCUGGUCUGAGAGGAUGACCAGCCACACUGGAACUGAGACACGGUCCAGACUCCUACGGGAGGCAGCAGUGGGGAAUAUUGCACAAUAGGGGAAACCCUGAUGCAGCCAUGCCGCGUGUGUGAAGAAGGCCUUCGGGUUGUAAAGCACUUUCAGCGGGGAGGAAGGCAAUGGCGUUAAUAGUGUCAUUGAUUGACGUUACCCGCAGAAGAAGCACCGGCUAACUCCGUGCCAGCAGCCGCGGUAAUACGGAGGGUGCGAGCGUUAAUCGGAAUUACUGGGCGUAAAGCGUACGCAGGCGGUCUGUUAAGUCAGAUGUGAAAUCCCCGGGCUUAACCUGGGAACUGCAUUUGAAACUGGCAGGCUAGAGUCUCGUAGAGGGGGGUAGAAUUCCAGGUGUAGCGGUGAAAUGCGUAGAGAUCUGGAGGAAUACCGGUGGCGAAGGCGGCCCCCUGGACGAAGACUGACGCUCAGGUACGAAAGCGUGGGGAGCAAACAGGAUUAGAUACCCUGGUAGUCCACGCUGUAAACGAUGUCGAUUUGAAGGUUGUGGUCUUGAGCCGUGGCUUUCGGAGCUAACGCGUUAAAUCGACCGCCUGGGGAGUACGGCCG
rnacentral:rRNA from 1 species